UUAAGCGACUAAGCGUACACGGUGGAUGCCCUGGCAGUCAGAGGCGAUGAAGGACGUGCUAAUCUGCGAUAAGCGUCGGUAAGGUGAUAUGAACCGUUAUAACCGGCGAUUUCCGAAUGGGGAAACCCAGUGUGUUUCGACACACUAUCAUUAACUGAAUCCAUAGGUUAAUGAGGCGAACCGGGGGAACUGAAACAUCUAAGUACCCCGAGGAAAAGAAAUCAACCGAGAUUCCCCCAGUAGCGGCGAGCGAACGGGGAGCAGCCCAGAGCCUGAAUCAGUGUGUGUGUUAGUGGAAGCGUCUGGAAAGGCGCGCGAUACAGGGUGACAGCCCCGUACACAAAAAUGCACAUAUUGUGAGCUCGAUGAGUAGGGCGGGACACGUGGUAUCCUGUCUGAAUAUGGGGGGACCAUCCUCCAAGGCUAAAUACUCCUGACUGACCGAUAGUGAACCAGUACCGUGAGGGAAAGGCGAAAAGAACCCCGGCGAGGGGAGUGAAAAAGAACCUGAAACCGUGUACGUACAAGCAGUGGGAGCACGCUUAGGCGUGUGACUGCGUACCUUUUGUAUAAUGGGUCAGCGACUUAUAUUCUGUAGCAAGGUUAACCGAAUAGGGGAGCCGAAGGGAAACCGAGUCUUAACUGGGCGUUAAGUUGCAGGGUAUAGACCCGAAACCCGGUGAUCUAGCCAUGGGCAGGUUGAAGGUUGGGUAACACUAACUGGAGGACCGAACCGACUAAUGUUGAAAAAUUAGCGGAUGACUUGUGGCUGGGGGUGAAAGGCCAAUCAAACCGGGAGAUAGCUGGUUCUCCCCGAAAGCUAUUUAGGUAGCGCCUCGUGAAUUCAUCUCCGGGGGUAGAGCACUGUUUCGGCAAGGGGGUCAUCCCGACUUACCAACCCGAUGCAAACUGCGAAUACCGGAGAAUGUUAUCACGGGAGACACACGGCGGGUGCUAACGUCCGUCGUGAAGAGGGAAACAACCCAGACCGCCAGCUAAGGUCCCAAAGUCAUGGUUAAGUGGGAAACGAUGUGGGAAGGCCCAGACAGCCAGGAUGUUGGCUUAGAAGCAGCCAUCAUUUAAAGAAAGCGUAAUAGCUCACUGGUCGAGUCGGCCUGCGCGGAAGAUGUAACGGGGCUAAACCAUGCACCGAAGCUGCGGCAGCGACACUGUGUGUUGUUGGGUAGGGGAGCGUUCUGUAAGCCUGCGAAGGUGUGCUGUGAGGCAUGCUGGAGGUAUCAGAAGUGCGAAUGCUGACAUAAGUAACGAUAAAGCGGGUGAAAAGCCCGCUCGCCGGAAGACCAAGGGUUCCUGUCCAACGUUAAUCGGGGCAGGGUGAGUCGACCCCUAAGGCGAGGCCGAAAGGCGUAGUCGAUGGGAAACAGGUUAAUAUUCCUGUACUUGGUGUUACUGCGAAGGGGGGACGGAGAAGGCUAUGUUGGCCGGGCGACGGUUGUCCCGGUUUAAGCGUGUAGGCUGGUUUUCCAGGCAAAUCCGGAAAAUCAAGGCUGAGGCGUGAUGACGAGGCACUACGGUGCUGAAGCAACAAAUGCCCUGCUUCCAGGAAAAGCCUCUAAGCAUCAGGUAACAUCAAAUCGUACCCCAAACCGACACAGGUGGUCAGGUAGAGAAUACCAAGGCGCUUGAGAGAACUCGGGUGAAGGAACUAGGCAAAAUGGUGCCGUAACUUCGGGAGAAGGCACGCUGAUAUGUAGGUGAAGUCCCUCGCGGAUGGAGCUGAAAUCAGUCGAAGAUACCAGCUGGCUGCAACUGUUUAUUAAAAACACAGCACUGUGCAAACACGAAAGUGGACGUAUACGGUGUGACGCCUGCCCGGUGCCGGAAGGUUAAUUGAUGGGGUUAGCCGCAAGGCGAAGCUCUUGAUCGAAGCCCCGGUAAACGGCGGCCGUAACUAUAACGGUCCUAAGGUAGCGAAAUUCCUUGUCGGGUAAGUUCCGACCUGCACGAAUGG
rnacentral:rRNA from 1 species